rnacentral:rRNA from 1 species
CCUACGGGAGGCAGCAGUGGGGAAUAUUGCACAAUGGGGGAAACCCUGAUGCAGCGACGCCGCGUGAGUGAAGAAGUAUUUCGGUAUGUAAAGCUCUAUCAGCAGGGAAGUAAAUGACGGUACCUGACUAAUAAUCCCCGUCUAACUACGUUCCAGCAGCCGCGGUAAUACGUAGGGGGCAAGCGUUAUCCGGAUUUACUGGGUGUAAAGGGAGCGUAGACGGAGCGGCAAGUCUGAAGUGAAAGGCAGGGGCUUAACCCCUGAACUGCAUUGGAAACCGGCAUGCUAGAGUGCUGGAGAGGUAAGUGGAAUUCGUAGUGUAGCGGUGAAAUGCGUAGAUAUUAGGAAGAACACCAGUGGCGAAGGCAGCUUACUGGACAGUAACUGACGUUGAGGCUCGAAAGCGUGGGGAGCAAACAGGAUUAGAUACCCUAGUAGUC